AUUGAACGCUGGCGGCAGGCCUAACACGUGCAAGUCGAGCGGAUGAAGAGAGCUUGCUCUCUGAUUUAGCGGCGGACGGGUGAGUGAUGCCUAGGAAUCUGCCUGGUAGUGGGGGAUAACGUCCGGAAACGGGCGCUAAUACCGCAUACGUCCUACGGGAGGAAGCAGGGGACCUUCGGGCCUUGCGCUAUCAGAUGAGCCCAGGUCGGAUUAGCUAGUUGGUGAGGUAAUGGCUCACCAAGGCUACGAUCCGUAACUGGUCUGAGAGGAUGAUCAGGCACACGGGAACUGAGACACGGUCCAGACUCUUACGGGAGGCAGGAGUGGGGAAUAUUGGACAAUGGGCGAAAGCCUGAUCCAGCCAUGCCGCGUGUGUGAAGAAGGUCUUCGGAUUGUAAAGCACUUUAAGUUGGGAGGAAGGGCAGUAAGUUAAUACCUUGCUGUUUUGACGUUACCGACAGAAUAAGCACCGGCUGACUUCGUGCCAGCCGCCGCCGUAAUAC
rnacentral:rRNA from 1 species